GUGAGUCAUCGAAUCUUUGAACGCACAUUGCGCCCGCCAGUACUCUGGCGGGCAUGCCUGUUCGAGCGUCAUUUCAACCCUCAAGCUCUGCUUGGUGUUGGGGAUCGGCGUAGCACCCCUCGGGGCGCUGCCGUCCCCUAAAUCUAGUGGCGGUCCCGCUGUAGCCUCCUCUGCGUAGUAGUUUUCUCCUCGCAAUGGAAUCUCGGCGGUGCCUUGCCGUUAAACCCCCAACUUCUGAAAGGUUGACCUCGAAUCAGGUAGGAAUACCCGCUGAACUUAAGCAUAUCAAUAAGCGGAGGA
rnacentral:misc_RNA from 1 species